GGGUCAGUAGGCUGGUCGUGCCACCGGUACGUACUGGUCUCACUGAUUCCUCCUUCCUGAAGAACCGUAAUGCCAUUAAUUUGGUGUUGCGGGGAAACAGGACUGUUACUUUGAAAAAAUGAGAGUGUUUAAAGCAGGCUAACGCUUGAAUACAUUAGCAUGGAAUAAUGAAAUAGGACGAUCGAUCCUAUUUUGUUGGCUUCUAGGAUUGACGUA
rnacentral:rRNA from 1 species